rnacentral:rRNA from 1 species
UACGUAGGGUGCGAGCGUUGUCCGGAAUUAUUGGGCGUAAAGAGCGCGUAGGCGGUCUGUCGCGUCGAAUGUGAAAACCCGGGGCUCAACUCCGGGCUUGCAUUCGAUACGGGCAGGCUAGAGUUCGGUAGGGGAGUCUGGAAUUCCUGGUGUAGCGGUGAAAUGCGCAGAUAUCAGGAGGAACACCGGUGGCGAAGGCGGGACUCUGGGCCGAUACUGACGCUGAGGAGCGAAAGCGUGGGGAGCGAACAGG